rnacentral:rRNA from 1 species
AUUGAACGCUGGCGGCAUGCCUUACACAUGCAAAGUCGAACGGCAGCGGACCUUCGGGUGCCGGCGAGUGGCGAACGGGUGAGUAAUAUAUCGGAACGUACCUUUCGAGUGGGGGAUAACGUAGCGAAAGUUACGCUAAUACCGCAUAUUCUGUGAGCAGGAAAGCAGGGGAUCGCAAGACCUUGCGCUGAUUGAGCGGCCGAUAUCAGAUUAGCUAGUUGGUGAGGUAAAGGCUCACCAAGGCGACGAUCUGUAGCGGGUCUGAGAGGAUGAUCCGCCACACUGGAACUGAGACACGGUCCAGACUCCUACGGGAGGCAGCAGUGGGGAAUUUUGGACAAUGGGCGCAAGCCUGAUCCAGCCAUGCCGCGUGAGUGAGAA